rnacentral:rRNA from 1 species
UGGGGAAUAUUGGACAAUGGGCGCAAGCCUGAUCCAGCAAUGCCGCGUGGGUGAAGAAGGCCUUCGGGUUGUAAAGCCCUUUCAGCAGGGAAGAAAAGCAGCCGGAUAAUACCCGGCUGUGCUGACGGUACCUGCAGAAGAAGCACCGGCUAACUCCGUGCCAGCAGCCGCGGUAAUACGGAGGGUGCAAGCGUUAAUCGGAAUUACUGGGCGUAAAGGGCGCGUAGGCGGCUUGGCAAGUCGGGUGUGAAAGCCCCGGGCUCAACCUGGGAAUUGCAUUCGAUACUGCUUGGCUAGAGUGUAGUAGAGGGAAGUGGAAUUCCGGGUGUAGCGGUGAAAUGCGUAGAUAUCCGGAGGAACACCAGUGGCGAAGGCGGCUUCCUGGACUAACACUGACGCUGAGGCGCGAAAGCGUGGGGAGCAAACAGGAUUAGAUACCCCCGUAGUCC